rnacentral:lncRNA from 1 species
GUUUAUGUUGAACCAGUUCUGCUGUUUUUUUCAGAGCUGAAGGCAACCUGAAAGAUCCAGGUGCAGAAACCCAUAGCUCAGUGGUUUAAAACCAACAUGUGGAUGGAUCCAGGUGAAUUCAACCCAGGUCUGCAAAUGAGCAACUUUUCUGCACAGAUGGACACACAGAAAAUUGCGAGGCUGGGACUUGCCUUCAGCAGAAAAUUGAGCUCUGCUAACUUGGAUCCUCUUUUGUGCACGUGAGCCAGAAGGAGAAACCACUUUUGCUUUUCUACAGCAUUUGAAUCGUGUUUGGGAUAGAGGGAGAAGGACCCCCAACGGGGAAACGGAG